CUCACGUAGCCUACUGAAUCGGAAAGGUUUCUCACUCGGUAAAACCUUACAUGUUAAUACAUGCUUUACGACACAGUGAGCAAAUAAUUGGAUAUUUACCGAGCAAUUGCAAAACAAAACCUUUAAAUGAAGUAAUUGAAACCAAAUCUUCAAAUGCAUAUCGUUUGUCAGCGAUGAAGAUCAUGCACGCGCAGCAUGUGAUGACUCGUAUUACAAGUAACAAAUUUUGUAGUGCAUUCUUUGAAUUUCUUUGUGGUGAUGAUGAAAUGAGAUAAAAUUCAUUGGAAAGGUGAGCGCACACCUGCUGGAAAGAGUUUCUUCUCCACCUAGUGGUCAAAGAGAUGGUCUGUGACUGGAUGGUUUCAUGUGUUGCUUUGUCUGAACUGCUCAUCUGUAUGGGUCAGAGCUGAUCAGACUGCGCAAGCUGUUACCUACAGAGGCCAUUCAGCGUGUCUGACCAUUCCAGGACGUGACCUCUUUACCUAUGAAUCUAGGGAGACGUGUGCUGCUGGGAACUGGAGGAGUCAGUACCGCCUUUGCAUCUGGCCAGCAGAAUGCAUGACAUCACAGAAGAACUGACCUAGAAGGCAGGAAUGAGGCCUGCGGAGGAGCUUUCAAAAACCCAAAGAGAUAAAAAGAAUCAGUGUUUAAGCCUUGUGCACAGUCAAACACUUUUUUUGAGGUCCUCCACAAUGGACGACAAGAAUGAAAUGUAGAGGAGGCAUGUCGAAUUAGCCUGGGGCAAUCCUUUACCCAUGUUCCCUGAGGCACACACUGCGUUGUAAUAUCUGGAGGAGGAGGAGGUAGGCGCAGUGCUGGCAUAGCAGUGCUGACACUUUAAAGAGUGCAUGAACAUCCGCAGUGCACCUCUGUGCCACCUCCACUCUGCAUUAGUGUCAGCUUCAUUCCUCUGUCCCGGACACACUCCUAAAUAGACCAAUCAUCAAGAUCCCUGAGUGAGAGAGGGAAACGCGUCCUCAGCUAUCCUCGUGACCAUGACAGAACCUGCAUAUCAGCAAUCAUCCACGGGAGCUUGCUGUUGUUGCUUGCUGUUAAUAGACAGAACCGAGCAAUAAUCCAAAGCGAUUCCUCCAGAGGAACACAUGAUUAAGAUGUCAGUGAAUCAGAGCAGUGAGUUCAGGCCCUUAGCCUUGGGCUCCGUAGUGAUUCUCUCUUCGCUCAAUCUGCACCACUGCUUCAUUUCUGCGGGGAGCCCUCCAGCAAGAAUUUGUUGCAAGCAGAUGUUUCAAAGCAGAGCAGGAAUAAGGAAUAAGGCUGUUGGUAUAACAGAAAGAAACAAACAAUCCAGAGCGAUUCCUCCACAGAUGCAUGAAAUGGUCAGAAAGCACUGUUCCGUGGACGUAUAAGAAGAAAGAAAAUCAUGUCGUUUUGGAACAACAUGAGCAUCUUCUUGAACUCGUGAUGCCGAGUGUCUAAUCCCUAAAUUGACUUCUGAGUUCCAUCUCAGCUCUACGGUGGGAAUUAAGUGAAGGUAGCUCAUUAUUCUAUAGUAAAAUGAGAAAUGAAUUAUAAAUGCUUGACAGCAUCAGCAUGAGCUCUGAAGCGGAUAUAUAUUAUCUUGAACAUAGUCCGUUUUUACUGAAGCAGGAAUGUGUACUAUGAUUUUAGAAGGAAUUUAUGAAUUUAGCAAUGCAACUUUUGAUGUUGUCUGUUUAAAAAUAAGUUGAAAGUGUCACUGCUAUUUUUUAAAAACAUGGCUUUAUCCAACUCUCAUUAAGUUCCACUGCAGCAACGCUGAUAUGCUAGACGACCAACCUGUAAAAACACACAAAAUGUGUCAGAGGGGUCUGAUUGGAGUCUAGGCAGACAAAAAAAAAAAAAAAAAAAGCGAAGCCUGUACUCUAGACUCCCUAGGGUUUAAAUUAACAAUGCUCCCAUCUGUUCGGCUACUUUGAGCAUGUCUCUAAUGACAGGCCUUACUUAGCCCAAGACUAACCCACAUCCAACAACACUGCACUGGCAAACUGGAUCUAUCUUUACACAUAACCUUGAGAAACUAGGACUAUACAGAAGAGUUUUUCUGGCCCACUUGGUUUUGUCUCAUCUAUGAUAAGAAGCUAUGUCCCAUGAGAGCGUCAUACUGUAGUGUAGAAAGCGUGUUUUUGUUCUCUGAAAUGGAAAGGAAAGAUCAACAGCUUACUUUAUUGGGUCAAAUGAAUGCAGCUGUGCAUUUAAAGAGGAUAACGGAAACCGCUUUUGUCCUUGUGAAUGCUGUGUUUUAAAAGCUGGAAAAGAUCAAGGACUUCAGUCUAAUGCCAUCCUCCCCCUACACCAACCUGAGCAUAUAUUUUUACUUGUCUCUUAAAAAUGCUUAAUACCAUCUUUAAUAAUUUGGUAUUAGACAUGCAGAUAUGCAGAUUACAUCUCUAGCACACCACAUCAGCAGAAACACAGAGUCGCUGCAUGUUUAAUGAGAUUUGCAGGGGAAAGUGAUCCUGUGGUGCAAAGUCUCUUCUAGCAGGAAUGGAAGUGAGUGUGUGUGUGUGUGUGUGUGUGUGUGUGUGUGUGUGGAUUCAGAAGGCCCUUUUUGUUUUUUUCUUCUCUGCCCUGUGGCCUUUUCUGCUGUCUGUUCUGUCUGUUCCAGAGUGGCAGUCGUGUCUGGACUGCGGGGCGGGAGACGCACUUGACUCCUCAGCGCGAGUUUAGAUCUUGCUUACGAUGAGCUCUCUGUCGGCUUUGAUCCUGAGAUGGAACGCUCAUCUAAGUGCCACACUGAAGCGUCUCAGAGCAACCAUGGUGAUCAAUCUCAUUUUGCAGCUCAGAGAGCAGACAUACAACCCUGCAUGUACCUGAGUCCAAAAGCAUCAAACCUGCGAUUCAUUUAUUAGAGAAUUUGGCAGAAACCUACCGCCUCGAGAGAAGAGAGUCUGUGCUAUUACAUCGCUUGAUACAGUAACAUAAUUACACUUGGAGCAGCCGAAGUGCAGCAGGAGGCCUGAGCCAUUUCCUCAAGAGUCACCGUUUGAAGGAGUGCGGACUGUUUGGAUACAUUCUGAAGCACCAUCAUGCCCUCCGUGAACAAGUCUUUCCUCAGCAUAUUUUCAGAUCACUAAGGCUUUCAAGUCCCGGCUGGCAUGGACCUCACUGCUGAGAGACACUCAUCCUCAUAACCAAGCUACAGUAUCCCACUGCCAUAUCUACACGAUUAUCAUGUUCGCUUUUAAAGACAUUACUAAGUGUCUUAAUUGUCUAUGUAUUUCCAAGCUGAUGGUUCCGGGAGGGUUAAUGUUAAAGCUCUUGUAUGUUCAAUUAAUUUUGGAGCAAGAACCCCCAUAAGGAACCAUACCGCCAAAGAUAAAUUGUGUUCAAUAAACUCAAGUAACUUGC